AUUGAACGCUGGCGGCAGGCCUAACACAUGCAAGUCGAGCGAGCGGCGGACGGGUGUGUAAUGUAUGGGGACUGCCCGAUAGAGGGGGAUCACUACUGGAAACGGUGUCUAAUACCGCAUACUAUCGGGUCCCCCAUAUGGGAUUAGCUAGUAGGUGGGGUAAAGGCUCACCUAGGCGACGAGCUCUAGCUGGUCUGAGAGGAUGAUCAGCCACACUGGGACUGAGACACGGCCCAGACUCCUACGGAGGCAGCAGUGGGGAAUAUUGCACAAUGGGCGCAAGCCUGAUGCAGCCAUGCCGCGUGUAUGAAGAAGGCCUUAGGGUUGUAAAGUACUUUCAGCGGGGAGGCGUUACCCGCAGAAGAAGCACCGGCUAACUCCGUGCCAGCAGCCGCGGUAAUUC
rnacentral:rRNA from 1 species